rnacentral:siRNA from 1 species
UGAUCUCUCGUCUGCUACACU